GAUGAAGAACGCAGCGAAAUGCGAUAAGUAAUGUGAAUUGCAGAAUUCCGUGAAUCAUCGAAUCUUUGAACGCACAUUGCGCCCUUUGGUAUUCCUUAGGGCAUGCCUGUUCGAGCGUCAUUUAAACCUUCAAGCUCAGCUUGGUGAUGGGUGACUGUCCUCCCCUCGCGGGGGGACUCGCCUCAAAAACAUUGGCGGCCGGUACAUUGGCUUCGAGCGCAGCAGAAACGCGGUCUCGAGCCCGGUGGAUCGGCUCCCAUAAGUCUAUUCUUUUAUUUUGACCUCGGAUCAGGUAGGGAUACCCGCUGAACUUAAGCAUAUCAAUAAGCGGAGAA
rnacentral:misc_RNA from 1 species